GGACAAAUGAAAGAAAGAAAUUCAAUAUGUUCCAUCUGCAAAGACAUCUCGACAUGAAGAAAUAGCCAAUGUUACAGGAAUAAGAGAAGAGCAACUUAGCAAAGAGUGCUACAAUAAGCAUGGUGAAAGUUUCAACAUUGAUGAGAUGGAAA